rnacentral:rRNA from 1 species
UCCCGUUGAUCCUGCGGGAGAUCACUGCUCGAGGGAUUGGUCAAUCAUGCAAGUCUAUGGUUUUCGGACCAUGGCGGAAGGCUCAGUAACACGUCAGUAAUCUGCCCUUAAGUACGAGAUAACUUUGGGAAACUGAAGAUAAUAUCGUAUAGUCGACGCACGCUGGAAUGCGGCGUCGUUUAAAGCUUCGGCGCUUAAGGAUGAGCUGGCGGCAGAUUAGGUUGUUGGCGGUGUAAUGGACCACCAAGCCUAAGAUCUGUAAGGGGGGUGAGAGCCCGAGCCCUGAGAAGGACACUGAGACAAGGGUCCUAGCCCUACGGGGUGCAGCAGAUGCGAAUCCUCUACAAUGCACGCAAGUGUGAUAGGGGGAUCCCUCGUGCUAACGCAUAGCGUUAGCUUUUACGGAGUGUAAGUUGCUUCGAGAAUAAGGGGUGGGCAAGCCGGUGCCAGCCGCCGCGGUAAUCCCGGCGCCCCAAGUGGUGAUCAAUUUUAUUGGGUCUAAAGCGUCCGUAGCUGGUCUGUUUAGUUCUUAGUUAAAUUCGGCAGCUUAACUGUCGACUUGCUAGGAAUACUGAUAGACUUGAGACUGGGAGGAGCUAGAAGAAUGCCAUGGGGAGCGGUUAAAUGCUUUAAUCCAUGGUGGACUAUCAGUGGCGAAGGCGUCUAGCUAGAACAGGUCUGACAGUCAGGGACGAAAGCUAGGGGAGCAAACCGGAUUAGAUACCCGGGUAGUCCUAGCCGUAAACGCUGCGUGCUUGGUGUUGCACAUUUUUCGAAAGUGUGCAGUGCCGAAGCGAAGGUAUUAAGCACGCCACCUGGGAAGUAUGGUCGCAAGGCUGAAACUUAAAGGAAUAGGCGGGGGAGUACUACAAGGGGUGCUUGCUGCGGUUUAAUUGGAUUCAACGCCCGGAACCUUACCAGCCGCGACAGCAGAAUGAAGGUCGGUCUGAAUGGCCCACUCGACACGCUGAGAUGUGUUGCAUGGCCGCCGUCAGCUCGUGCCGUGAGGUGUUCGGUUAAGUCCGAGAACGAGCAAGACCUGCAUUUCUAGUUGCAACCAGCUUUUUUUGAGGUUGGGCACACUGGAGAGACUGCAUGGGUAACCAUGAGGAAGGUGCAGGCCACGGUAGGUCUGUAUGGCCAGAAUCGGCUGGGCUACACGCGGCAGGCAAUGGUUAGCACAACGGGUUGCAACUCCGAAAGGAGAAGCUAAUCCCUUAAAGCUAAUCUUGUUUGAAUCGAGGGCUGCAACUCGCUCUCGUGAAAGCGAAAUCCCUAGUAAACGUGCGUUAGCAACGUGCGUUGAACGUGUCAAUGUUCCUUGCACUCACCGCCCGUCACUCAUCCGAGUGAGGUUUGAAUGAGGCUUUAUCAUUUGGUAGAGUCGAAUUUAAGCUUCGCGAGGCGGAGUA